GAUGAACGCUGGCGGCGUGCCUAAUACAUGCAAGUCGAGCGAACAGACGAGGAGCUUGCUCCUCUGACGUUAGCGGCGGACGGGUGAGUAACACGUGGAUAACCUACCUAUAAGACUGGGAUAACUUCGGGAAACCGGCGCUAAUACCGGAUAAUAUAUUGAACCGCAUGGUUCAAUAGUGAAAGACGGUUUUGCUGUCACUUAUAGAUGGAUCCGCGCCGCAUUAGCUAGUUGGUAAGGUAACGGCUUACCAAGGCGACGAUGCGUAGCCGACCUGAGAGGGUGAUCGGCCACACUGGAACUGAGACACGGUCCAGACGCCUACGGGAGGCAGCAGUAGGGAAUCUUCCGCAAUGGGCGAAAGCCUGACGGAGCAACGCCGCGUGAGUGAUGAAGGUCUUCGGAUCGUAAAACUCUGUUAUUAGGGAAGAACAAAUGUGUAAGUAACUAUGCACGUCUUGACGGUACCUAAUCAGAAAGCCACGGCUAACUACGUG
rnacentral:rRNA from 1 species